CACGUAGGGGACGAGCGUUGUCCGGAUUUAUUGGGCGUAAAGAGCGUGUAGGCGGCUAGAUAGGUCCGUUGUGAAAACUCGAGCUCAACCUCGAGACGCCGGUGGAAACCAUCUAGCUAGAGUCCGGAAGAGGAGAGUGGAAUCCUGGUGUAGCGGUGAAAUGCGCAGAUAUCAGGAAGAACACCCGUGGCGAAGGCGGCUCUCUGGGACGGUACUGACGCUGAGACGCGAAAGCGUGGGGAGCGAACAGG
rnacentral:rRNA from 1 species